rnacentral:tRNA from 1 species
GGGCGGUUAGCUCAGCUGGUUAGAGCGCAGCCUUCACACGGCUGAGGUCGGAGGUUCGAGUCCUCUACCGCCCA